GCGAGACUGACAAGUCGAGCAGAUGCGAAAGCAGGACAUAGUGAUCCGGUGGUUCUGUAUGGAAGGGCCAUCGCUCAACGGAUAAAAGGUACUCUGGGGAUAACAGGCUGAUACCGCCCAAGAGUUCAUAUCGACGGCGGUGUUUGGCACCUCGAUGUCGGCUCAUCUCAUCCUGGGGCUGUAGUCGGUCCCAAGGGUAUGGCUGUUCGCCAUUUAAAGAGGUACGUGAGCUGGGUUUAAAACGUCGUGAGACAGUUUGGUCCCUAUCUUCCGUGGGCGCUGCAGAUUUGAGGAAGCCUGCUCCUAGUACGAGAGGACCGGAGUGGACACACCUCUGGUGUAUCGGUUGUCACGCCAGUGGCAUUGCCGAGUAGCUAAGUGUGGAAGAGAUAACCGCUGAAAGCAUCUAAGCGGGAAACUCGUUUCAAGAUGAGAUCUGCCGGGGCCUUGAGCCCCCUGAAGAGUCGUUCAAGACCAGGACGUUGAUAGGCUGGGUGUGGAAGCGCAGUAAUGCGUUAAGCUAACCAGUACUAAUUGCUCGUGAGGCUUGA
rnacentral:rRNA from 1 species